rnacentral:rRNA from 1 species
UUGACCUCAAAUCAGGUAGGACUACCCGCUGAACUUAAGCAUAUCAAUAAGCGGAGGAAAAGAAACUAACAAGGAUUCCCCUAGUAACUGCGAGUGAAGCGGGAAAAGCUCAAAUUUAAAAUCUGUUGGCCAUUGGCCAUCCGAGUUGUAAUCUAGAGAAGUGUUACCCGUGCUGGACCGUGUAAAAGUCUCCUGGAAUGGAGCAUCACAGAGGGUGAGAAUCCCGUCUUUGACAUGGACUACCAGUGCUUUUGUGGUAUGCUCUCAAAGAGUCGAGUUGUUUGGGAAUGCAGCUCAAAAUGGGUGGUAAAUGCCAUCUAAAGCUAAAUAUUGGCGAGAGACCGAUAGCGAACAAGUACCGUGAGGGAAAGAUGAAAAGAACUUUGGAAAGAGAGUUAAACAGUACGUCAAAUUGCUGAAAGGGAAACGCUUGAAGUCAGUCGCAUUGACUUGGAAUCAACCCUGUUUCUGCUGGGUGUACUUUCUUGUUGAUGGGUCAGCAUCAAUUUUGACCGUUGGAUAAAGUUGUUGGGAAUGUGGCAUCUUUGGAUGUGUUAUAGCCCAAUGAUGCAUACAGCGGUUGGGAUUGAGGAACUCAGCACGCCACAAGGCCGGGUUUCGACCACGUCCGUGCUUAGGAUGCUGGCAUAAUGGCUUUAAUCGACCCGUC